rnacentral:rRNA from 1 species
ACUCCUACGGGAGGCAGCAGUGGGGAAUAUUGCACAAUGGGCGCAAGCCUGAUGCAGCAACGCCGCGUGAGUGAUGAAGGCCUUCGGGUCGUAAAGCUCUGUCCUCAAGGAAGAAUAAAUGACGGUACUUGAGGAGGAAGCCCGGCUAACUACGUGCCAGCAGCCGCGGUAAUACGUAGGGGGCAAGCGUUAUCCGGAAUCACUGGGGCGUAAAGGGGUGCGUAGGCGGUUUUUCAAGUCAGAAGUGAAAGGCUAUGGCUCAACCAUAGUAAGCUUUUGAAACUGUUAAACUUGAGUGCAGGAGAGGAAAGUGGAAUUCCUAGUGUAGAGGUGAAAUUCGUAGAUAUUAGGAGGAACACCAGUGGCGAAGGCGACUUUCUGGACUGUAACUGACGCUGAGGCACGAAAGCGUGGGGAGCGAACAGGAUUAGAUACCCUGGUAGCACAGAG